rnacentral:rRNA from 1 species
GGUCAAGCUAAUAAGGGCUCAUGGUGGAUACCUAGGCACACAGAGGCGAAGAAGGACGUGGUUACCUGCGAAAAGUUCCGGGGAGUUGGAAGCAAACAGAGAGCCGGAAAUAUCCGAAUGGGGCAACCCUGAACACUGCCUGUUGAAUAUAUAGACAGGAAAGAGCGAACCUGGCGAAUUGAAACAUCUUAGUAGCCAGAGGAAAAGAAAUCAAAAGAGAUUCCCCGAGUAGUGGUGAGCGAAAGGGGAAGAGCCUAAACCAAGGGGUAUACCUCUUGGGGUAGUGGGACAGCAACAUCGAAUCCAGAGACUAGACGAAGCAGCUAAAUACUGCACCAGAGGGGGUGAAAGUCCUGUAGUCGAAAGUCAAAGGAUAGAAGCUGAAUCCCGAGUAGUACGGGGCACGAGAAAUCCCGUAUGAAUCAGCGAGGACCAUCUCGUAAGGCUAAAUACUACUGUGUGACCGAUAGAGAACAAGUACCGCGAGGGAAAGGUGAAAAGAACCCCGGGAGGGGAGUGAAAAAGAACAUGAAACCGUGAGCUUACAAGCAGUGGGAGUCCGAUUAAACGGAUGACCGCGUGCCUGUUGAAGAAUGAGCCGGCGACUUAUAGGUACUGGUAGGUUAAAGCGGGAAUGCUGGAGCCAAAGGGAAACCGAGUCUGAAAAGGGCGCUAAUCAGUAUUUAUAGACCCGAACCCUGGUGAUCUAACCAUGGCCAGGAUGAAGCUUGGGUAAAACCAAGUGGAGGUCCGAACCGACCGAUGUUGAAAAAUCGGCGGAUGAGCGGUGGUUAGGGGUGAAAUGCCAAUCGAACCAGGAGCUAGCUGGUUCUCCCCGAAAUGUGUUGAGGCGCAGCGGUAAUGAAAAAAUUGGGGGGUAAAGCACUGUUUCGGUGCGGGCUGGGAGACCGGUACCAAAUCGAGGCAAACUAAGAAUACCCAAGGAUCACAUUGCCAGUGAGACGGUGGGGGAUAAGCUUCAUCGUCAAGAGGGAAACAGCCCAGACCACCAGCUAAGGUCCCCAAAUCAUCACUAAGUGAAAAAGGAGGUGGGGUUGCAAAGACAACUAGGAGGUUUGCCUAGAAGCAGCCACCCUUGAAAGAGUGCGUAAUAGCUCACUAGUCAAGCGAUCCUGCGCCGAAAAUGAAAGGGGCUAAGUGAUGUACCGAAGCUGUGGGAUUAGAAAUAAUCGGUAGGGGAGCGUUCCGUAGUAGUGAGAAGCAGUAGCGGCAAGCAGCUGUGGACGAGACGGAAGUGAGAAUGUCGGCUUGAGUAGCGCAAACAUUGGUGAGAAUCCAAUGCCCCGAAACCCUAAGGGUUCCAGAGGCAGGUUCGUCCACUCUGGGUUAGUCGGGACCUAAGGCGAGGUCGAAAGGCGUAGUCGAUGGAGACCGGGUCAACAAUCCCGGACUACAAUAUGGGAGCAAAACUAGGGACGCAUGAAAGAUAGCCACGCCCUGAAUGGAUUGGGAAGAACGUUACGACGGUCGAGUGGUGAAGGAAAGUGCCAAGAAAAGCUAGGGUUGUGAUGAACAUAUAGUACCCGUACCCGAAACCGACACAGGUAGGGAGGUUGAGAAUACCAAGGGGCGCGAGAUAACUCUCUCUAAGGAACUCGGCAAAAUGGCCCCGUAACUUAGGAAGAAGGGGUGCCUGCCGAAAGGCAGGUCGCAGUGAAGAGAUCCAGGCGACUGUUUACCAAAAACACAGGUCUCCGCCAACUCGAAAGAGGACGUAUGGGGGCUGACGCCUGCCCAGUGCCGGAAGGUUAAGGAAGUUGGUCAGUGGAAACAUGAAGCUGACGACCGAAGCCCCGGUGAACGGCGGCCGUAACUAUAACGGUCCUAAGGUAGCGAAAUUCCUUGUCGGGUAAGUUCCGACCCGCACGAAAGGCGUAACGAUCUGGAUGGUGUCUCAGAGAGAGACUCGGCGAA